rnacentral:rRNA from 1 species
AUACGGAGGGUGCGAGCGUUAUCCGGAUUCAUUGGGUUUAAAGGGUGCGCAGGCGGACUUGUAAGUCAGUGGUGAAAUCCCGGGGCUCAACCUCGGAACUGCCAUUGAUACUGCAAGUCUUGAGUUUGGUUGAAGUGGGCGGAAUGUAGCAUGUAGCGGUGAAAUGCAUAGAUAUGCUACAGAACACCGAUCGCGAAGGCAGCUCACUAAACCAACACUGACGCUCAGGCACGAAAGCGUGGGGAGCGAACAGGAUUAGAUACCCCGGUAGUCC